UACGAAGGGGGCUAGCGUUGUUCGGAAUCACUGGGCGUAAAGGGAGCGUAGGCGGCGUGGUAAGUCAGAUGUGAAAUCCCGGGGCUCAACCCCGGAACUGCAUCCGAUACUGCCAUGCUUGAGGGUUGGAGAGGUAGCUGGAAUUAUCGGUGUAGCAGUGAAAUGCGUGGAUAUCGAUAGGAACACUCGUGGCGAAGGCGAGCUACUGGACAACAUCUGACGCUGAGGCUCGAAGGCUAGGGGAGCAAACGGG
rnacentral:rRNA from 1 species